CAGCCGCCACGGUAAUACGAAGGGUGCAAGCGUUACUCGGAAUUACUGGGCGUAAAGCGUGCGUAGGUGGUGGUUUAAGUCCGUUGUGAAAGCCCUGGGCUCAACCUGGGAAUGGCAAUGGAAACUGGACGGCUAGAGUGUGUCAGAGGAUGGUGGAAUUCCCGGUGUAGCGGUGAAAUGCGUAGAGAUCUGGAGGAAUACCGGUGGCGAAGGCGGCCCCCUGGACAAAGACUGACGCUCAGGUGCGAAAGCGUGGGGAGCAAACAGGAUUAGAUACCCCCGUAGUCCCUGUCUCUUAUAC
rnacentral:rRNA from 1 species